rnacentral:siRNA from 1 species
GCUGAAAUGUGACUGAUGCA